GACGGCGGGGGCAAGGGCCCUCUGCUGGAGCCUCCUGGACGAACCGCUCCCUUUCCCCGCACCCUGAGCCAUCUCUCCAGCCCCAGAGAAGAUUUCUUGAGCUCGGAGCUACUCCUGUGCCUAACCCUCGUUUUAAGACCCUUUCCUUUGGCCUCCAACAGUUUCUCCCACAAGGUCUCAGAAGAUGCAGACACAGCUACAGGAUACUGCCUGGAUUGUGAUAUAAUAACUCACUGAAAAAUGCAGAGGACAAAACUGGAUACCCUGAGUCAAAUGACUUGGCUAAAAUAAAGGUGCUUACUAUACCCAUGACAGCUCCAGAGAAGCAACCUUCAGAUGCUCCAAUCUUCUCUCAGACACAGACAGCUUGUACUGGACCUGUUUCUUCUGACCUAUCCUCAGACAGCUCCACAGACCCUGGACAGCAAGGAAGCAGCCAGCUCUCCUAAGACUGCACAAACAUUUCCCCAUACCCAUCCCUCUGGGUUCCCCAGAGACACACUGCCCCCAAAGUCAGCACGAAGCAUCCAGAUAUCACGAUGACCCUUUUCCUGCUUCACUGUCACCUCUUUCUAAUUUUUUUCUUUUUUCUUUUUAAUUAAACCAACAUGGAGGAAUGUUAGGAUUCUGUCUAAGCUCCACCCCACAGCUACCUGGCAACA